rnacentral:lncRNA from 10 species
UUGCCAGACAUACUUUUCUGGUUGCUCACAUCUCUAGUGUCACAACAGGAGCCAGGACACUGAGAUAAACCUGCUUUUGGGAAUUAUAUUUCGGUGUGCCUGGGAGCAGAAAGGAAGAGGGGAAUUUGGACACAGAGGCACGGAGAGAAGAAGGCCGUGUGAUGAUGGAGGCAGAGGUUGGAGUGAUGUGGUCACAAGCCAAGGAACCCCAAGAACUGUGAGCCACGAUCAGAAGCCAGUGGAGAGGCACAGAACAGAUUCUCCCUCAGAGUCACCAGAAGGAACCAAUGCUGCCAACAUCUUGAUUUUGGACUUUUAGCUUCCAGAGCUGUGAGAGAAUAAAUUUCUGCCUUUUAAGUCCUCCAAUUUGUGGUGAUUUGUUCUGGAAGCUUUAGACAGUGCCACAGAGAGGAAAACUACGAGCAAAUGACACACUAAGAGUUGCAUUUGACCUGACACCAACAUGGUCUCCCGACCCCUCUGGAGAACACCAUGAGGCAUUAGUUUCUCCUCUCACCGAGGAGUGAACUGAACCCUGAGAGCCAAGCAACUCACCCAUGUCUCUCAGCUGCUGAGUGGCAGAACCAGGGUGCAAGCCUGUGUCUCUGGCUCUGAGACCCAUGCUCCACACAG